rnacentral:rRNA from 1 species
GUACGAAGGGGGGCUAGCGUUGUUCGGAUUUACUGGGCGUAAAGCGCACGUAGGCGGCUUUCUAAGUCAGGGGUGAAAUCCUGGAGCUCAACUCCAGAACUGCCUUUGAUACUGAGGAUCUUGAGUUCGGGAGAGGUGAGUGGAACUGCGAGUGUAGAGGUGAAAUUCGUAGAUAUUCGGAAGAACACCAGUGGCGAAGGCGGCUCACUGGCCCGGUACGUGACGCUGAUAUACGAAAGCGUGGGGAGCAAACAGG